rnacentral:rRNA from 1 species
CUACGGGCGGCAGCAGUGAGGAAUAUUGCACAACGGAGGAAACUCUGAUGCAGCAACGCCGCGUGGAGGAUGACGCAUUUCGGUGUGUAAACUCCUUUUAUAUGUCAAGAAAAUGACGGUAGCAUAUGAAUAAGCUCCGGCUAACUCCGUGCCAGCAGCCGCGGUAAUACGGAGGGAGCAAGCGUUACUCGGAAUCACUGGGCGUAAAGGACGCGUAGGCGGGAUAGAAAGUCAGGUGUGAAAUCCUAUGGCUCAACCAUAGAACUGCACUUGAAACUUCUAACCUAGAGUAUGGGAGGGGAAGAUGGAAUUAGUGGUGUAGGGGUAAAAUCCGUAGAUAUCACUAGGAAUACCAAAAGCGAAGGCGAUCUUCUGGAACAAUACUGACGCUAAGGCGUGAAAGCGUGGGGAGCAAACAGGAUUAGAUACCCGAGUAGUC